rnacentral:rRNA from 1 species
UACGUAGGGUGCAAGCGUUGUCCGGAAUUAUUGGGCGUAAAGAGCUCGUAGGCGGUCUGUCGCGUCGGCUGUGAAAACUCGGGGCUCAACCCCGAGCCUGCAGUCGAUACGGGCAGACUAGAGUUCGGUAGGGGAGACUGGAAUUCCUGGUGUAGCGGUGAAAUGCGCAGAUAUCAGGAGGAACACCAAUGGCGAAGGCAGCUCGCUGGGACGGUACUGACGCUGAGGCGCGAAAGCGUGGGGAGCAAACAGG